AAAAAGGCAAACCCUGAAUUUUCGUGUCCAACUUUAACUGUCCGUCUUAUAUGAAAUUUUUUUAUAAUUUAUAUUUGUAUUGUUGUUAGAUGAUCAAACAUGAUUAAUAUUUUAUGCGUGACUUGUCUUUUUAAUUUUUACCAUAAUUUUUUGAAAUAAGACGGACGGUCAAACGUUAGGCACGGAAACCAGGGUUUGUCUUUUU
rfam:Oryza rufipogon genomic scaffold, chr03